rnacentral:misc_RNA from 1 species
GAUGAAGAACGCAGCGAAAUGCGAUAAGUAGUGUGAAUUGCAGAAUUCAGUGAAUCAUCGAAUCUUUGAACGCACAUUGCGCCCUUUGGUAUUCCUUAGGGCAUGCCUGUUCGAGCGUCAUUUAAACCUUCAAGCUAAGCUUGGUGUUGGGUGACUGUCCGCUUCACGGCGGACUCGCCUCAAAAUUAUUGGCGGCCGGUACAUUGGCUUCGAGCGCAGCAGAAACGCGAACUCGGGCCCGUCGUAUUGGCUCCCAGAAGCUAUCUUCACAAUUUUGACCUCGGAUCAGGUAGGGAUACCCGCUGAACUUAAGCAUAUCAAAAGCGGAGGA